rnacentral:lncRNA from 1 species
AGACGGCGGGCUGCGCGGGGCUCGCGAGCCCUCUUCCGUGCGCGCUUGGGGCUUGGCCUGGAGGCGUCUGGCUUUCCCGAGUUUGUGAAACUUAAAGGGACAGCAGCCUCGUGUUCCUCCUUAGACAAAUACACUCCAAAGUACUUUUGAGUGCGCGCGCACGACCCAACGUGUCUGGCCUAUUAGGAGUCCUAGGAAAGCCCAAGCAGGGCCGCUCAAGACCCCAAAACCCCAUGCUCAGGAGACCAUCAGAAACCACGAAACAAAGUGGACUUGUGUGUAAAAGCAGUUUCAGCACGAUUUAGUCCAAAAGGACACAGGGGGGCGGGGAUCCUGCCUGAGUGGUAGAUUGGGAGAGUGGAGCAGGGGGCGAGUGCAGGUUAAGCGAAAAGGCACACAUGUUCCAGGUCCGCCCCGGGGCGGGUGGCCCGCGUCCAGACCGAGCUUCGGCCCCGCGCGGGGGAAGGGAGGUGGCAGAGGGCGGGCGCGCGCGGGUGCGCGCGCGAGGGGAGGGGGCCGCGCAGGCGCCGUGCGAGGCUGUCGAAGAAUCAAGUCUGUAGAAGUGGAGCGGCCGCGGCGGCAGCAGCAGCACCGGCGGCGGAGCUCAGCGGGCUGGGCGCUGGAGAGAGGCGACGCCAGGAGCUGGGACAGAGCGGCGGAGCGGCCCGCGGCGUGCGCCGCGCCCGAGCUCCACGCCGCCCCGCGCGGCAUGCCCCGCCGCUCGGGCUGAGCCUGCCCCGGCGGCCGCCCCCCGUCCCCCGCCCCCAGGCCUCCCCGCCCCCCGCCGGCCGCCGCUGCGACCUGCUGCUCUCGCCCGCGCGCCCCGUUUUCGCUCCGGUCUGGAGGCCCGCCGCGGCCCCGGCCGAGCCGCCGCCGCGCCGCCCCGCCGCCCGCGGG